rnacentral:rRNA from 1 species
GACGUAGGGCGCAAGCGUUGUCCGGAUUUAUUGGGCGUAAAGAGCUCGUAGGCGGCUUGUCGCGUCGACUGUGAAAACCCGCAGCUUAACUGCGGGACUGCAGUCGAUACGGGCAGGCUAGAGUUCGGUAGGGGAGACUGGAAUUCCUGGUGUAGCGGUGAAAUGCGCAGAUAUCAGGAGGACACCGGUGGCGAAGGCGGGUCUCUGGGCCGAUACUGACGCUGAGGAGCGAAAGCGUGGGGAGCGAACAGGAUUAGAACUACCGUAGU